rnacentral:tRNA from 1 species
GCUUUAGUAGUAUAAAUGGUCAAAACCCUAAUUUCAUACGUUAGAGAUGGAAGUUCAAUUCUUCCCUAAAGCU